rnacentral:tRNA from 1 species
GGAUGUAGCUCAGUGGUAGAGCCCCGGAUUGUGGCUCCGGUGGUCGUGGGUUCGAUCCCGUCGGUGUGAUCCG